UUUAUUAAUAGUUGAAAAUCAAGAUUUUGCUAUUAUUUGUAUUAUUUUAAUUGAAAAUGUAAAUUACCCAACAUUGAUAAUGUAAAUUCGAAAAAGGGUAUGGAACGAUUGCUCUCUCACAUAUCUGUAUAUGGUGGAUCAGUGCUGCAAUUCUUAAUCAUCAUUGCAUUUUCCACAACUGAUUUCCAUAGUGUAAAAUAAAGUGUAUUUUGGUUCAGCCAUUGAAAAAUAGAAAAAAGAAGGUUGGCAAACAACGCAGGGCGCUUUGUUGCGAAUCGCAUGCCGACAUCGACGAGACUGACUAUUUGAUCAAAAUGGCGGAACCUUAUCAAAAGCUUCCAUUUCGCUUGGUUGAAGAUCGAUUUCUUUCUGUAUUUUGUGUCAGACAAGACAUGAAACGUAGAAUGAUGAUUAUUGAUGAAUUGAAGCCAAACACUUCCUAAUUGAAUGUUUUGCUUUUAUUUUCUCUCAUGUUUCUAUGGUUAUUUGCAGUGAAGAUUUCUGCAUCAUUGCAGACAGCAAUUACCUUUUUUUUUUAAUCUAUCAAUAGGGACAUAUCUGAUUUGUUUUUUUUUUUUCAUUGCAUUACUUAUCUUAGUUCAGCAUACUGCAUUAUAACUAAUAAUGUGGCUUUUUGUUGCAAAUUAUUUCCGAAAAUGUAUUAGCAGGGUGCCAAAUUUAUCUUCACAAAACAAUGCCGUUUCAAUCAUGCAUAGAGUCAGCAGCAGAGAAACGUAUACAUAAAAGCAUCUAUAACCCGAAUCGAAUUCCAUUAGGAAUGUUGCCAACGGGCAUCAAUCUUGCUCGUCCACUUCAUGAAAAGGCAGGGGUAUUGUCUUAACUGCUCUAAACUUGCCUGCAUUAUUUAGAUGCUCAUUCUCCAACCUG